rnacentral:lncRNA from 1 species
UUAGUUAUUGGACGUUUUGGCAACGUGAGAUUUACCUGGUCGAGAACAAUGCAGAGCUUAUUGAAAUUUAAAACCAUUUUUAAAUUCCUUAGCCAGUCUUUAUAAUUAAUUUCAGUUAAGGAUUUUGUGUCGAGAAUACGAGAGAGAUAAUUGGAAGCAGACAUUUACUUUGCAGAGAGUAAAGAUUCAAGUUAGAUAUUUGUAUUUGUUUUGAAAAAUUGUUUUAGGGAUUUUAAAAACAAAUUUAACCUCCAAUUAUUUUCUCGAGUCUCUUACACUCCUCGGGUAGAGAAACGAAAACCCAACGCGACAAGAGGUUUCAAGUGGGUACUGCGGUCCCACCAAUUUAACGUACCACCUCACCUAACAGUUAUUGGUGAUAUGCAAACCGAUGAGUGGACAACUCUUGUCCAAUGCUUCUCAAGCAAAUUGCAGUGAUCGGUCUCUAAGUCCUAUAGGCCUCACCUGACAGUUAUUGGCCCCAUUCCUUAGUUAAGUCAGACCCACCGUUCAAACGCGUAAGCAAAACCGUCAUUGGGUCCCUCACCUGACAGUUAUUGGGCCCAACCCCAUCUUUACUCCGCAGCAUCUCAUGCUAAUAGAGUGGUUGCGAAUUCCCGAUGCAACUGACCACUGUAACCAGCCGUGCCAAUCAACACCAGAAAAGCGCCCGCACUUCUACAACGGCGGAAGACCGCUCGACUUAAUAUUUAUGAGGAGAUUUAUUUAGGUCUCAAAAAAUAUUUUAUUUAUUUGCAAAUAAAAUAAAAAAUCAAUCCGCGCAAACAAACAUAAUUAAACUGGUGAUGAUCAUGGAUCUUAGAAGUGGAUUCGGACUCGAGCCACUGAGUCGGAAUCGGGGUCUUAGGGUCAUAAAUUACAAGCACACACACGUCAUUGGUUUGAUCGUCUUCAACUUCUUGAUCCGAUCUGGAGCUUCAACUUGAUUUGAUCCUUAUCAACACCUUGAUCCGACCGCCAUCAAGUAUUCAUCUCUAUCCGGGCUUUGCGAACUUUUAGGCUUGCAACCGAUCAACCAAUGACGUGCAACCAUACAUUAUACAACCCAAUAAUAAAAAAAAUAAAAUAAAAAUUAAUUACAUUUGAUAACGUUUAUCUCUAACCUAUUGAGACACGCAGGUCUCCAAAUAAAUCGGCUUGUGCACGCAGGCACAAAUAUAGCCAUCUCUAAUACAAAAUUCUUAAUUUAAACAAAUUUAAAAUUACAGGAUUCUGCAUACACAUCAUACAUCACAUGUCGAAAUAAAAAAAAAAAAAAAGGUUGCUAUCCAUGAUCAUCACCGUAUCUCAUACAUCACAUGUAUAAUAAUAAAUUUUGGAUAUUCUAAUUAACCGUUAACCGAUGAUUCGAAAGAAUAAAUUAUUAAAAAUAAUCAAUCUUAUUGAUUAUUAUAAUUUUGAUCAACAACUUAAUUUACAAAAAUAACAUCUUGAUCUCAUCAAGAAAUCAAUUUGAUCUAAUCAAAUUAGAUCUUUUUCUUUUAUUUUAAAAUCGAUCUAAUCAACCUUUAAAAAAAAAAAUUUAAAUUAAAUUUUUUUUAAAAUUCCGUACGAUUGCUACAGUAGCAUCGUACGGAUGCUACAGUAGCGUCGUACGGGGAUGCUACAGUAGCGUCCGUACAGAUGCUACAGUAGCAUCGCUACAGUAACUUUUUUUUUCUUUUUUUUUGAAACCAAUAGAUUAAAUAGUUGAUCGAUUUAUAAUUUUCGAAUUAGCUAAAAACGAUCUAUAAAUCGUUCGAUCGGCGAAAAACAGUUUAGAAUACCAAACUCAUAAUUUUAAUCUUAAAAACAUGAGAAUGGCUCUGAUACCACUGUUAGAAAAUUGCGUACGGUAAAAACGCAGCGGAAAAAGAAAUCAAACAAAUUUGAUUUUUUAAAACUCUCGAGAUCAAAUCUCAAAAACCACGCAAUUAGGAUCCCUCAUGUUCUUUAAGAUUAAAGGAGAAAAGUAAGAUCGAAUCAUUACCUNCACUCACAACUUUGUUGUCGAGGUGGAGGCCAAAUGGAUAGGCCUUCCCCUUGAGAAGGACGGUAGCAGGAUCAAGGCCGUCAAUUCUGAGGCGCAACCUGUUGCGGCUGUCACACCCCGAGUCCGCUACCCAUUUGGUCCGGCUCGGGCGCGUCGAACAGACGCCGAACGGACAGCACCUGCCAUGUCCGCCCAAGGCUCAACCACGAGAUCAUGUAUAAGAAUUCGCCCAGGAACAAUUCAAUACAUACAUGAUCGAUACAAUGACAAUAGAAGCACCACAAGUGCUUAACAAUAAGAGCAAGUAACACAAGUAUACAUACAAGUGCAAAAAGAGAGAAUUCUAUCUAUUACAUCACAUUCAUCCACAAAUCUA